GGUGGGUGUAGCUCAGUGGUAGAGCUCCGGAUUGUGGCUCCGUGUGUCGUGGGUUCGAUACCCAUCAUCCACCA
rnacentral:tRNA from 1 species